GAUGAACGCUAGCGGGAGGCCUAACACAUGCAAGCCGAGCGGUAUUGUUUCUUCGGCAAUGAGAGAGCGGCGUACGGGUGCGUAACACGUGUGCAACCUGCCUUUAUCUGGGGGAUAGCCUUUCGAAAGGAAGAUUAAUACUCCAUAAUAUAUUGAACGGCAUCGUUUAAUAUUGAAAGCUCCGGCGGCUAGAGAUGGGCACGCGCAAGAUUAGCUAGUUGGUGAGGUAACGGCUCACCAAGGCGAUGAUCUUUAGGGGGCCUGAGAGGGUGAUCCCCCACACUGGUACUGAGACACGGACCAGACUCCUACGGGAGGCAGCAGUGAGGAAUAUUGGUCAAUGGGUGCAAGCCUGAACCAGCCAUCCCGCGUGAAGGACGACUGCCCUAUGGGUUGUAAACUUCUUUUGUAUAGGGAUAAACCUACCCUCGAGAGGGUAGCUGAAGGUACUAGACGAAUAAGCACCGGCUAACUCCGUG
rnacentral:rRNA from 1 species